rnacentral:rRNA from 1 species
UCCGUAGGGGGCAAUCGUUGUUCGGAUUUACUGGGCGUAAAGGGCGCGUAGGCGGCGCGUAAAGUCGGACAUGAAAUCAUUGGGCUUAACCCAAUGGCUGUGCCCGAUACUUGCGUGCUUAGAGUGCGGGAGAGGCAAUCGGAAUUCUCGGUGUAGCGGUGAAAUGCGUAGAUAUCGAGAGGAACUCCAGUGACGAAGGUGGGUUGCUGGACCGACACUGACGCUGAGGCGCGAAAGCUAGGGGAGCAAACGGG